AGCGAACGCUGGCGGCAGGCUUAACACAUGCAAGUCGAACGAAAUCUUCGGUGUUAGUGGCGGCCGGGUGAGUAACACGUGGGAACGCGCCUUUAGGCUCGGAAUAACUCAGGGAUACUUGUAGUAAUACCGGAUGUGCCCCUCGGGGGAAUGCUUUAUCGCCUUUAGAGCGGCCCGCGCCUGAUUGCUAGUUGGUGAGGUAAAGGCUCACCAAGGCGUCGAUCAGUAGCUGGUCUGAGAGGGUGAUCAGUGACAUUGGGACUGAGACACGGCCCAAACGGCAGCGAGAGGCAGCGGUGAGUAAUCUUGCGCAAUAGGCGAGAGCCUGACGCGGCCAUGCCGCGUGGAUGAUGAAGGGCUUAGGAUUGUAAAAUUCUUGCACCGGGGACGAUAAUGACGGUACCCGGAGAAGAAGCCCCGGCUAACUUCGUG
rnacentral:rRNA from 1 species